rnacentral:rRNA from 1 species
AGAUGAUUAGUGGCGGACGGGUGAGUAACAUUUAGGAAUCUACCUAGUAGUGGGGGAUAGCUCGGGGAAACUCGAAUUAAUACCGCAUACGACCUACGGGUGAAAGGGGGCGCAAGCUCUUGCUAUUAGAUGAGCCUAAAUCAGAUUAGCUAGUUGGUGGGGUAAAGGCCCACCAAGGCGACGAUCUGUAACUGGUCUGAGAGGAUGAUCAGUCACACCGGAACUGAGACACGGUCCGG